GCAAUGGUCUGUGAACAUUUUUCCCCUUACAAUAAAUAUAAUACAUACUCACCAGAUAAAAAUGUAAAUACUGAUGAGGAAAAAUUGUAACUAACAUUUUCGGGGCUCUUGUGGGUUAGGGACUUUAUACUAACUCAUUGAAGACAGACAGUAGCCUGAGAGAAGGUAGGGUUUGGGUUAUCCUCAUUUUGCCGGUGAGGAAAAUGAAGCUUGAAGUUAGACUAACUUAGAGUCUUAAGCUAAUAAAUGGCAGAGUUGGUUUUCAAACCAGAAAUAACUUGUUUAUAGUACCCUUCCAAAGCCUUUUCUAUACACAAAUAUAUAUAAGAAUGGGAUCAUAUUGUGACCAUCUUUCCAUGUCAAUAAAUGGACUUCAACAGCA
rnacentral:lncRNA from 10 species